rnacentral:sRNA from 1 species
GCCAGGCAUGGUGGCACAUGUCUGUAAUCCCAGCUACUCUGGAGGCUGAGGCAGGAGAAUCGCUUGAACCUGGGAGUCGGAGGUUGCAGUGAGCCGAGAUCAUACACUCAGCCUGGGUAACAGAGCGAGACUCCAUCUUAAAAAAAAAAAAAAAAAAAGGAAAUGGAGUCUUGCUCUGUCACCCAGGCUGGAGUGCAGUGGUGUAAUCUCGGCUCACUGCAGUCUCUGCCUCCUGGGUUCGAGUGAUUCUCCUGCCUCAG